rfam:Gossypium raimondii Chr05_contig_1244, whole genome shotgun sequence.
UGUUAAUUUUCUUUUAUCUUUUUGUAUUGUUAAAAAUUAGUAUGGUUGAUGGAAUAAUCAGACAGUUACAUGUGACAUGCCAUGUAUACCUAAUGCUGACAUAUAGGGACCGAUUUUUAACAACAGAAAUUGAUGAAAUUUUUAACA